rnacentral:rRNA from 1 species
UACGUAGGACCCAAGCGUUAUCCGGAAUUACUGGGCGUAAAGAGUUGCGUAGGUGGCAAGUUAAGUGGGCAGUGAAAUCGUGUGGCUCAACCAUACUCACAUUGUCUAAACUGGCUAGCUAGAGUGCGAUAGAGGUAACUGGAAUUCCAAGUGUAGGAGUGAAAUCCGUAGAUAUUUGGAGGAACACCGAUGGCGUAGGCAGGUUACUGGAUCGCAACUGACACUGAGGCACGAAAGCAUGGGGAGCAAACGGG